CACCUUUCAGGGUCACACCUGGAGAGUUUCCAGUACUCUACCAGUCACGACUAUGGGAGGGAGAGUCAAGCAGACCUAUUUCAUUCCUAGCUUGGGCAGUGGCUAGCGAGUGAAAAGCAAUCUGCUACAAGU